ensembl:lncRNA
CAACGCCCGAUCUCGUCUGAUCUCGGAAGCUAAGCAGAGUUGGGCUGGGUCAGUACUUGGAUGGGUGACCGCCUGGGAAUACCCGGUGCUGUAAGCAUUUUGUUUCCUUCUUAAUUAGCAAAAUGAAGACAUGAAUAGAACUGUCCGCAGUAUAUUAAGAAAAGACAAUUCAUUGUGUUUUACCUUCAAUAAACAGCAAGUGUAUAUGCUCUAUUUCAGAUUACGGCCAUACCACACUGACAACGCCCGAUCUCGUCUGAUCUCGGAAGCUAAGCAGAGUUGGGCUGGGUCAGUACUUGGAUGGGUGACCGCCUGGGAAUACCCGGUGCUGUAAGCAUUUUGUUUCCUUCUUAAUUAGCAAAAUGAAGACAUGAAUAGAACUGUCCGCGUAUAUUAAGAAAAGACAAUUCAUUGUGUUUUACCUUCAAUAAACAGCAAGUGUAUAUGCUAUAUUUUAGAUUACGGCCAUACCACACUGACAACGCCCGAUCUCGUCUGAUCUCGGAAGCUAAGCAGAGUUGGGCUGGGUCAGUACUUGGAUGGGUGACCGCCUGGGAAUACCCGGUGCUGUAAGCAUUUUGUUUCCUUCUUAAUUAGCAAAAUGAAGACAUGAAUAGAACUGUCCGCGUAUAUUAAGAAAAGACAAUUCAUUGUGUUUUACCUUCAAUAUAAAGCAAGUGUAUAUGCUCUAUUUCAGAUUACGGCCAUACCACACUGACAACGCCCGAUCUCGUCUGAUCUCGGAAGCUAAGCAGAGUUGGGCUGGGUCAGUACUUGGAUGGGUGACCGCCUGGGAAUACCCGGUGCAGUAAGCAUUUUGUUUCCUUCUUAAUUAGCAAAAUGAAGACAUGAAUAGAACUGUCCACGUAUAUUAAGAAAAGACAAUUCAUUGUGUUUUACCUUCAAUAAACAGCAAGUGUAUAUGCUCUAUUUCAGAUUACGGCCAUACCACACUGACAACGCCCGAUCUCGUCUGAUCUCGGAAGCUAAGCAGAGUUGGGCUGGGUCAGUACUUGGAUGGGUGACCGCCUGGGAAUACCCGGUGCUAUUACGGCCAUACCACACUGACAACGCCCGAUCUCGUCUGAUCUCGGAAGCUAAGCAGAGUUGGGCUGGGUCAGUACUUGGAUGGGUGACCGCCUGGGAAUACCCGGUGCUGUAAGCAUUUUGUUAACCUUCUUAAUUAGCAAAAUGAAGACAUGAAUAGAACUGUCCGCGUAUAUUAAGAAAAGACAAUUCAUUGGUUUUACCUUCAUAUAACAGCAAGUGUAUAUGCUCUAUUUAGAUUACGGCCAUACCACACUGACAACGCCCGAUCUCGUCUGAUCUCGGAAGCUAAGCAGAGUUGGGCUGGGUCAGUACUUGGAUGGGUGACCGCCUGGGAAUACCCGGUGCUGUAAGCAUUUUGUUUACCUUCUUAAUUAGCAAAAUGAAGACAUGAAUAGACUGUCCGCGUAUAUUAAGAAAGACAAUUCAUUGUGUUUUACCUUCAUAUAAACAGCAAGUGUAUAUGCUCUACUUUAGAAUUACGGCCAUACCACACUGACAACACCCGAUCUCAUCUGA